AGGCCUUUGAGCUGGGCCUUGAGGAUGAGUAGGGGGUUGUCAACUGGAGGGAGGGAGGCCCCUCCAGGCAGAUGGGUCCUGUGUGGCUGGAGGGAGCCCUGUGGGAGAGGCAGGGCGGAUGGAUGGAGGCCCAGCCGGGAGGCCUCUGAGAGCUGACACGGAGGAGAGAGCGAGGAGGCAUCACGACUCCUCAAAGGGGUGGGGAUCACAGACAGCGGAGCGUCAGGGAGGGGAGCUCUGAGAGUCUGGCCCAACCCAGAACGGAGGGACAGAGGGGACACUGCAGUCGCCAGCUCCGUCCCACGUCCCUCACCCUCCUUCCUCACUGCAUCCUCACAAUGACUCUAUGGCCGUGAUGUGGUAGUUCCAUUCUACAAACAUAAAAUGAAAGACCAGCGCCCCCCUCACCCCAGGGUAACCCGGUCUGGAUCCAGCUGCAUCGCUCCCUCGAUUUCCUGCAUAGGUAGACUUGCCAUCCACACGCAUUACCAAAAGCCAGAGUGGAUUCUGUUCCUCGCCUCUUAUAACCCCGAUGAUGCAGAGGAGAGUCUGAACUCGGGCCCGUCCGCCAACGAGCAGAGGUGCCGAGACAGGGACCAGGGAGUGUGUCUGGAGAUGGAGAUUCGAGAGGAGGUGGAGCGGAGGCUAGAACUCCAAGAGUCACCCACGCCCUCGAGCGAGGACCCCAAAGGGCACAGCAAGAACACAGCAGGCGUCAGACCCUGGAGGGACUUGAAGGCCAAGGACCAGAAUGUUGACAUUCUUCUUUGUUUUUUUUAAACCAAUCUUGAUUAUUCUUGACCCUGAGUACACAUCUUUUCCAUCUUCUACGUGAGGAACGGCAAGCACGGGGUGAAGGUUUCUGCCGCACAGAGAAGCACCAAGGCUAUCGCCAGGAAAGCUCUCGUGCGGUGGUUCUGAGUUGUGAGUUGACUUUUUUUUUUCUUUAGGAAGAUAAGCCCUGAGCUACCAUCUGCUGCCAACCCUCCUCUUUUUGCUGAGGAAGACUGGCCCUGAGCUAACAUCUGUGCCCAUCUUCCUCUGCUUUAUAUGUGGGACACCUGCCACAGCAUGGUGUGCCGAACGGUGCCAUGUCCACACCUGGGAUCUGAACCGGAGAACCCUGGGCCGCCAAAGUGAAAUGUGCGAACUUAACCGCUGUGCCACCUGGCCGGCCCCUGACAUUAUUCUUAAAGUCACGAGAUUUUGACCAAGACAAUCACCUACUGAAAUUUACAUUUUAGGGGCCUAGGAGGGCUCUGGCACCCUCUGAGCUCCCACUGUGGGCCGGUCAGGUCCCCACACCAUCUCAGCUGAUCCACACAGCCCCCUCUGAAGGAGAGAUU
rnacentral:lncRNA from 1 species